UGGGUGGCUUAAACAGCAAACAUUUAUUUCCCACAUUUCUGAAGGCUGGGAAGUCCAAGAUCAAGCACUGUAGGCUGUCUGAAAGCCUGUUGUGAAACAUUUACUAGACACCAGUGAUGCAGUGACACUUUCUACUAGUUCCUUAUAGAAGGGUCAGACAAAGCUUAGAGAAUGUGUAAAGGAUUCCAGAAUUCCCAAGCUCCAGGAAAAGUUAAAUGGCAAGAAUUAUUGGGAAGAAAAUCAAUUUCAGACAGGCAGGCCUCAUGAAGUUUGCAAUAUCAUGAACUGGCUACAGAGGAAGAAGUGAAGAUGUGAGUCAGCCUGGAGUUCAUCCCACUUCAACUUCAAUUAUCUUUGGGACGUGGACAACAGCCUCGGCAGCUAAAAGAAGAAAGUGCAGGGGUGGAAUAAGAAACUUGAUCAGAGCAGUUAAAAUCCAUGAUCCUUCUGGGGUGAAUGGCAGAGGAAACUGACCAGAGGCAGACAAAGGUCUUGUUGAGUAGUUUAAAUGGCCCAUCUGAAGCCAAAGACCAUUAAAAUGAUCCUGGUACCAAGAA
rnacentral:lncRNA from 1 species